CACCGCGGUUAUACGAGUAACUCAUAUUAAUACUUCCCGGCGUAAAGCGUGAUUUAAGGAUUAUCUUCAAAUAAAUACAGUUAUGAUCUCAUCAAGCUGUUAUACGCACUCAUGAACAGAAUAAUCAACAACGAAAGUGACUUUAAAACACCAGAAAUCUUGAUGUCACGACAGUUGGGCCC
rnacentral:rRNA from 1 species